CGCUUCAAUAGUGAGAAAGACACAGCACAACAGUUCCAAUUUCGUGGAAAAACGGUCAGAGAAUAGUCUUCAAACACCAUCCCAAAAUCUUCAAUCAAUAUGCCUAACGUCUGCUGCCAAAACAAUUGCUCAUGCGGAAGUGGCUGCACUUGCUGCCAAAGCAAAUGCACAUGCGGUAGCGGAUGCAAGUGCGGACCAAACGGAGCGCCAUGCCAAAAUUCCGCUUGCAUUUGUGCCACUGGAGGUGGCGGAUGUGGAAGCGACUGUCGCUGCCCCAUGAGCUGCGGAUGCAAGACGUCCUGUUGCAAAUGAGCAAUUUUUAAAUGAGAUCCAAUUCCCCUUCCCCCCCCAUUUACUUCUUUUGAUUUUUCAUUUAAAAGUAUGAGUUUACAUUAGAUACAUUCCCUACGGUCUAUCGGGGAGAAAAAUAUACUAUUCUUGCUAAA